UCUCCGUAGGUGAACCUGCGGAGGGAUCAUUACUGAGUGAGGGCUUCGGUCCGACCUCCAACCCUUUGUGGACCCAUCUCGUUGCUUCGGGGGCGACCCUGCCGUUCCGGCACCGGCGCCCCCGGAGGACUUCCAACCCUGCAUCAUUGCGUCGGAGUUAAAGUAAAUUAAACAAAACUUUCAACAACGGAUCUCUUGGUUCCAGCAUCGAUGAAGAACGCAGC
rnacentral:misc_RNA from 1 species